ensembl:lncRNA
GUUUUAAGGUGAAUGACCUGGGACUAUUUGUGUCCGUCAACUCUGCAUAGAGGCUCCUGGAAGGGAAGGCCUCUGUGAGGUUCCGGAACGCCGAGAGACUGCCACUGAGUGGCCUGUGUGUGGAUGGGCAGCAGUCAGAGAGAGACAGGAGACCCGCUGCCAAGACAGGGGCUGGGGCUCGAGUUGGAAAAGUCGCUGCAGGUAGAGUGGGCUAGGUCCACAAAGUGGACCCAGGAACACGGUCUAUUAACUCUUAGACUCACAGCGAGCAAGCCACCCUGGGGGUGAGGCUCAGUCAGAAGCCGAGAGAUGGGACAGGAAGCUCCUGGGGAGAUGUGGCUUAUCUUAUGGAAGGAACUUGCUAUGUUUGGAGAGAUGAUUCAAGGACAGUGUGCUUGUGUUUCAAGGGUGCAACUGAGUGGACGUCCCCAGGGAAUGCAUUCUCUUCUACGACACCUUGAGAUGGAAGUGGAGAUUUAUUGCUACAGAAGAUAAAAAGAGAGGAGAGGAGGAAGUUGGAGCAUGUUAUAAGAAGAAGAUGAAAUAAUUAAAAUAGUAAUUAAAGCCUGUUAGAUGUUGCAAAGCGUGAAAGCUGGACAUAAAACUGGAACCUGGAGUGAAACCUUGAGAGGCGCAGAGUGGCUGAAGCUUCAAGUCACCUGGAUGAACACUGAGGCCCCUGUGUUUUCCUCCCACCGUUUCCCUCCCUCGGAGUGCCCCUGUUCAUGGAAUAACUGUAUGCAUGCCGAAAGCCAGGCUGGGAGCCAUCUUCUUCACAAGAGGUCGUGAUUCUGGGUGAAGAUUUCAAGUCCCUCAUAUAUAAAGAAAGAGUUACAGCUUCAUCUGUGAUGCUAGAGCUUCUGCCACGCAGAUAUGAAUUAAGUAACUGCUAAUUUUUUU